AGAGUUUGAUCAUGGCUCAGAGCGAACGCUGGCGGCAGGCUUAACACAUGCAAGUCGAGCGCCCCGCAAGGGGAGCGGCAGACGGGAGAGUAACACGUGGGAACGUGCCCUUCAGUUCGGAACAACCAAGGGAAACUUUGGCUAAUACCGAAUACGUCCGAAAGGAGAAAGAUUUAUCGCUGAAGGAUCGGCCCGCGUCU
rnacentral:rRNA from 1 species